UUAUGUACUGGUGUUAUUGUUGAAUAAACUUCUGAAAACUUUGUUUUGGAAGAAACAAAGCUCUUAUUGUGAAAGUCUGCUUCCUGACAGCUGGAGCUGUGACGCAUCAGGAAACAACUCACAUCAGUUGUUUCCUGUCGACAUUUUGGACUGUUUGAGGAAACUCCCUUCCUGCCUGCUUCCUGACAGGUGGAGCUGGGACUCAUUCCAGGAAACAGCUCACCUGUGUCAGAGAUUUCUCUCCAGGUGGAGAGUAACACUCUUCUUCAUCAACUCUUCUUCAUCAACUCUUCUUCAUCAACUCUUCUUCAUCAACUCUUCUUCAUCAACUCUUCUUCAUCAACUCUUUGGACUGUUUGAGGAAACUGACCCAUCAGAGACCAGAC